UUGCGGGUGGCAGUAUGUUGCGCGGAGUCACUAUUGGCAGGAUGUGGAUGGCGCGUCCGUUUCAAACCAGGAGUGGACAUUGGCGCGUGCGCGUAGGCGCGGGCGUCGAGGUCACUAAGGAAGGGUGCACC
rnacentral:SRP_RNA from 1 species